AAAACUUUCAACAACGGAUCUCUUGGUUCCCCCAUCGAUGAAGAACGCAGCGAAACGCGAUAGUUAAUGUGAAUUGCAGAAUUCAGUGAAUCAUCGAGUCUUUGAACGCACAUUGCGCCCAUUGGUAUUCCUUUGGGCAUGUCUGUUUGAGCGUCAUUACAACCCUCAGCCAACCGCUGGUUAUGAACCUGAACGGGUAACACCGAGCC
rnacentral:rRNA from 1 species